rnacentral:rRNA from 1 species
GAGGAAUUUUCCGCAAUGGGCGAAAGCCUGACGGAGCAAUACCGCGUGAGGGAUGAAAGAUUUUGGUCUGUAAACCUCUUUUCUCAAGAAAGAAGUUCUGACGGUACUUGAGGAAUAAGCAUCGGCUAACUCCGUGCCAGCAGCCGCGGUAAUACGGGGGAUGCAAGCGUUAUCCGAAAUCAUUGGGCGUAAAGCGCCUGUAGGUGGUUUAUUAAGUCUGUUGUUAAAGCCUAGGGCUUAACCCUAGAACAGCAAUGGAAACUGGUAAACUUGAGUAUGGUAGGGGUAGAGGGAAUUUCUAGUGUAGCGGUGAAAUGCGUAGAUAUUAGAAAGAACACCAGUGGCGAAAG